AUGGAAUUCAGCUAUGUAUCAAUAACAAGGUUAAGUAGAAUAUUUUUGAAAAUUAAGAAUUUGGAGGAAUUAAGAAAUACACUGGAUCAAACAAAAAAUUACAGUGGAAAUAUAUAUAUAUAUAUAUAUAUAUAUAUAUAUAAGACAGAGUUUCGCUCUUGUUACCCAGGCUGGAGUGCAAUGGCGCGAUCUCGGCUCACCGCAACCUCCGCCUCCUGGGUUCAGGCAAUUCUCCUGCCUCAGCCUCCCGAGUAGCUGGGAUUACAGGCACAUGCCACCGUGCCCAGCUAAUUUGUAUUUUCAGACUUUUUCGUUUCUUAGCAAAUGCACAUGAUACUACUAAUUUUCCCCUAAGUACAAUUUUACCUGUAUCUCUCAAGUUUUUAUAUGUAGUGAAUUCAUUGUAAUUCAGUUCCACACAUUCUAUCAUUUUCUCUUAUGAGUUUUCUCUUUAACUCACUAAUUAUCUAAAAGUAUGAUUUUAUAUUUAAUUUUUCCAAAUACGUGGGAAGUAACUAACUUUUUACUGUUAAUAUUUUAUCUCACUUUGGUCAGAGGACGUGAGUGGUAUAUUGGCCAUUUGGAAUGUGCUACACCUUUCUUAAUGGUCUAAUACAUUAUUAUUUUCUGUAAACAGUGUAUGUUAGAAAAUAAUGUCUGUUAGAAAAUAAUGAUCAGGUCCCUUCGUUCCUGAUCUCAGCUGUCAAUCCUGUCUCAUCCCUUGGUGAUGAUUUCACAAUAUAUAUAAUAUACAACAUGUAGUAUGUAAUUUGGGGUGUCUUAUGGUCAUGGGCAAAUAGGCUGUGGCAGGGACUGGUUAGAUGCUCUUCCAUCUCAUUUCCUCAUCCUAAGCACUUCAUUUUCUAGCCUCCUUCACAAUUCACGUUAAAGUUCUGUGACUACUGGUCAGUGAAAUUUGGGUGGAAGUGAUACAAGUAGUAAGCAUGUUUCUACUUAUUUUCUACGAGAUCAAGCUUGUUUUUCUAUAUUCUUACUUAUUACUUGUUUGCCUGAUCAAUCCAUUCCUGGGAAAUGGAUAUUAAAACCUAUCAUUGUAACAACUUUUAUCAAUGACUCCCUGUCAUUUUGAAAGCUGUUGCUCUUUCUAUUUUAAGGCUGUAUAGUUAGAUACAUACAAAGUAGUGGUUAUUAUGUCAUCUUGCUGGAUUAUUUCUUUUUAGCAAUAUGAAAUAGGUGUCUCUAAAUAUUACUCUUAAUGCUAUUCACAUUAAAUUCUAUUUUGCCUGUUAUUACAAACACUACACUAACUACCUUUGGAUUAGCAAAUGCCUAGUAUAUCUACUUACUAUGCCUUAAUGUUUAAAUGUCUCCUGAGUAUUUUAAGUGUGUAUAUUAUAAUCAUUAUAUACUUAUAAAUGUUGAAUAUAAUCUGAAGUUUGGCUUUUAAUUGUGAGUUUAACCUAUUUACAUUUGUUAUGGUUAGUAAUAUAGGUGGACUUAUUUUUACCUUCAUGCUUUCUUUCUACCUCUUUGGUUUUUCUACUUUUAUUUAUUUUGUUGGAUUGAUCAAGUUUUCUACAUUUCUUUUAUUCUCUACUACUGGUUCAGCUGUUAUGCGUUCUAUGAUCCUAGUGUUUACUUUUAACGUUUAAUAUUGUGUAUUUUGCAUCACCUCCCACUCUGGAUUUUUUUUUUGGCUUAGAUGUUUCAUUUAAUAAUUAUAUUUGGAAACAUUCACACAUUAUACAUUCAGUAUCUAUUCUAUGUUCUGCUUUAUCCAAAAAUAUGUUAUCAUUGCCCUUAAAUUAUGGUUUGAUUAGGUAUAGAAUUGUAAAUUCACAAUUAUUUUAUCUCAGCUUCAAAGUUACUAUGUCAUUUUUUCUUGCAUAUAGUGUUGUUCUUGAGAAGUUGGCUAACAAUCUGAUUGCUGUUCUAUUGAAGAUAACCUAUGUCUUAUUUGCUGGUCUUUAGGAUUUUCUCUUUAUCCUUGAUAUUCUCCAGUUCCACUGAAAAACAUCUAAACAUGAAAUUUAAUGAGUAUUUUUGUACUUCUGAAAAGUUACCAGCUGGGGCUGGAAUGCUGUGGCCCAACCAUGCCUCACUGCAGUCUCUACCUCCCAGGCUUACGCAAACCUCCCAUCUCAGCCUCCCGAGUAACUGUGACUAUAAGUGCACACCAUCACGAACAGCUACAUUUUUUUAGUUUUUUUUGUGUGUGUAGAGACAAGGGUAUACCAUGUUGCCCAGGCUUAUUAUUUCUUUAAAUACUGAUUCACUCACUUGCUGUCUUUGAUUCUGCCUCUCCUUCUUGACAUAUGUUGGAACUUCAUUUUCUGUCUUCUGUGUCUUUUAUGUUCUCUUUUAUACUUUCUAUUUCAGUACUUUGCAUCCUGUUAGGUUUAUAUUGAAGCUUCUCAUUCUUUAUUUUACCUCUUCACUUCUCUUAUAAUUGCUAUUUCUUUCAUAUUUGAUAUCUAUUCCAUAUUUUCCAUCCUAUUAGUCAUAUGCUGAAAUAUCUCAUUCCAUCUUCAAAUUUUUUUAGGUUAUCUGUUAUAUUUUCCAUGCCUUUAAUAAUUUAUAUCUCUAAGUUAUUAAAUUAAUUUUAAAAUUAAAUUUAAAAUAAUUUAUAUCUCUAAAUUAUAAAAUUCUAAAACAAGAAUUUUAAUCAGUUCUGUCUUCUAAUUCAUAUGUCAUUUUCUCAGCAGUGUCUGGCUGAUAACUUAUGCAUCAACUGAGAGAUUUUGUUUUUAAUUCCAAUAGGUAUUUUGAAUUUAUUUUUUACCUAGAUGCAAAGAGCUGUGUCAACAAUAAUAUUCACUUGAAAGCAUUUGCAACCAUGUGUUUACACAAGGCACUCAUUUUAUUUUUUUCCCUUCGUUCCUGAUCUCACCUGUCAAUCCUGUCUCAUCCCUUGGUGAUGAUUUCACAAUAUAUAUAAUAUACAACAUGUAGUAUGUAAUUUGGAGUGUCUUAUGGUCAUGGGCAAAUAGGCUGUGGCAGGGACUGGUUAGAUGCUCUUCCAUCUCAUUUCCUCAUCCUAAGCACUUCAUUUUCUAGCCUCCUUCACAGUCAUGUUAAAGUCCUGUGACUACUGGUCAGUGAAAUUUGGGUGGAAGUGAUACAAGAUAGCACUGUGUGUAUGGGGGGAAGGAUGUGUGGGGAUAUUGAGCUGACCAGGUGUGAGCCGUAGUGAAUAUCCAUUGCCCUCACCCCUGACUAGCAUCCACACCCACCCUCCCCCAUGCCACUUCAUGUGGUAACAUUCCCAUAUUGAUUUACCCAGUAUUGAUUUAGGAAAAUACCUCAUUACUGUUGUAUGCAAUCUUGAUAAGACUGUCCAUCAGCAUGCCCUGCAUUCACCUGACCAAAGCAAGACUAGCUACAUAAUUUGCAGGGCCCAGAACAAAAUGAAAAUGUGGGGUCCCUUGUACAAAAUUAUUAAUAAUUCCAAUACAGCAACAGCAGAGCAUUAAACCCAUGUAGGACCCUUCUAAGGGUAGAGGGUGUAUAAGACUGUGCACGUGAUACGCCCAGGAAAGCUACUGUCUGUCUCAAUGGUGUAGGUUUAGGAAAAUCCUGGAACUGAUUUCCCUUAGAAGUCACCAUUGGUUUUGCUACUUGGGUCCCCAGGGAAGUACGGGUUCCUGUCUUUUGCAAAUCUGAUUCAUUUGCUUCCCUUCAAUUCUAUCAGCUCCAUUUCCUUCCAAUUAAACCUUUGACUUAAUUUAACUAAAGCCCAUUUCUGAUAGUUACAUCAAAGAAUCCUAAAUGAAACAAUAAGUAAUUCCACUUGAGCCCUCCAAAUCUGUUUUCCACCUGAAAAAUAGGAAUAAUAAUAUAUAUGUCCAAGGGCUCCAGUUAUAAUUUCGAAGAGAUAAAUGAAUGUGAAGUGCCUAGUACAAACGCUGUAUGUACUAGAAGCUUAUUCAAUGCAAUUUUUCUUUCCUCAUCCUCACUCAGCUCUCAGACCGUAAACAACAAAAUCCCAGGCUCUCUGUAUUCAGACAGAAAUAUUGCCCAUCUUGGAAACAGGUCUAGAAGUCAAGUCUUUCAAAUCUGUCAGGUUGCGUGAACCUCCCUUGCGGGGGGACGAAGGGAACUGGAGAGAAGAAAGAGCUAAGGGUGAGUUUUGUGUACUUUCCAUCUAUUCCCCUCUCUCGGGUUUGUCAGAUUUCUUGGGGGGGAAUUAGCUCCCCCUCAGAGUGUGGUCUCUGAUAGUGACGCCAGAACAAGCUUCCCACUUUGAAGCCUAGAGGACCACAUUCUAGGUCUCCCCACCUCCUAGUCAAGCAGGGGGUAGACAGUAUGACCUAAACUCAGCCAAUCUGUGCCUGCCUUCCAGGCUUGGAAUCUUGAAUUAUCACAUGUGAAGACAGAAGGAGGGAUUCCA
rnacentral:lncRNA from 1 species